GAUAUUAACAUUUUUUCAAUCAAAGGAUGACCUUCCAUGUUUUCCUUAAGGCCUCGAUAUUUGUCAGAUUGAGUCAUUGCAAAGAGGGCAUCCCUGAGUUGCAUGCAUAGGGUUAAAUGCUGAAUCUUGUUUUGUACCACAUACUGGUAUCUAGAAACAAUAAAAACAUUGAAUAAAUACUAAUAAUAA